rnacentral:rRNA from 1 species
AGUGAACGCUAUUGGCGGGCUUUAGACAUGCAAGUCGUACGGAAGACCUUCGGGAAUUCCGUGGCGGACGGGUGAGUAACACGUAGGUAACCUACCUCUCGGAGGGGGAUAAGUGAAGAGAUUCAUGUUAAUCCCGCAUACGGUCUUCGGACUGAAAGCUCCGGCGCCGAGAGAUGGGCCUGCGGUGCAUUAGUUAGUUGGUGGGGUAAUGGCCUACCAAGGCGACGAUGCAUAGCUGGUCUGAGAGGAUGAUCAGCCACACUGGAACUGAGACACGGUCCAGACUCCUACGGGAGCAGCAGUCGGGAUAUUGGACAAUGGCGCAAGCCUGAUCCAGCUACGCCAAGUGAGUGAUGAAGGCCUCCGGG